CCAAUCGCCGCUGCUACCGCCGAAGACCCACCCCAGGUUAGCAUCCUCUCCUCGCGUCAACGGUCUGAGCCACACGCACAAGCCCCAGUCGCUCGUCGUCGCUAUCGAGGUGCUGCUCAUCCGCCCGUGGGUCGCCGCUGCUCAGAUCGGUGGCAACGAACUCGAACCCUAGCCACCGUGAAGCCAUCGACGCUCAGCCUCAAGUUUUGCAGUCGCCAAGUUCCCAGUCGUCGAUAAUGCCAGAACGUUAGAGUUAGUGUGUGUUGAAUUAGAGAUUGGGUCGUUCCGAGUCACCGUCAAGCAAAGAUUGCGAGCAAUUGGCGAGUUUAAGUGGGUUCUUAACACCCUUCGUUUUGGCGUGUAUCUACAGUCAAUUUCGUGUCUGAAACUCGAUUGUAAUUCGACUUGACCAAACACUUCGAGGUUCGAUUCAAGAUUCUUUUAAGCAAGGAAGGAGAUAAAUUUGUUUCAUUUGAGCUCAAACUCUAAGUGAGGGUAGAGAUGCACCGGCGAUGGCGUAGCGGAAUUCGUGAUCGUGCCACUGGGACUAAUUUUUACGCUUUCGCAUCAUGAAAUUUAGAGUCCUUAUUUUUUCCUUAAUGUUUAGUUUUACUGUUUGGAACUUAUUAUCAAGGAUUGUUUCUUUUAUAUACAUUUAAUAGUCUUUACGAAUUAUGGGUACCCUAUUAUUGUUUUAACAAUUGCAUUUAAAAAUGGCUUUUGAACUUUUCUUGUCUAUUUAACAUUUAUUUCAACAAAACUGAGCGUCGUCUUAAAUCCUAUGCAUGCAUUUAUUUUAGUAACAGCCUAACCUAAGUCCUAGGGGGUCGGGUCGUUACAUUAUUUCUCUCCAUUAAAUCGUGGGAUGAGGGGAGUUGUGUUGGAUCAUCUUCUUCCCUAUGAAUACAGAAGGUUUGUGCUUUUUUUUUUUUUUUUUUUGGCUUCCUCAAUAAAUCUCUUCGAAAAAGAAUUCCUCUAAAAAAUCAAUCUCUCCCUCUUCCCAAAAUUUCACAAAGUCCACAACUCUUGUUGAUUAUCAACCCUUAAGAGAAUACCCUGGUUUCCUUUGUGGUGGUGUCUAACCAAUUGGUGUUGCCCAUUUCUGGAUGUUCGUUGUUUUUGGUACAAUUCGAAGGAGAUGAUUUGUGAAGAAUUUUGUGACUUCCAGGGUUAGUUUUCUUUAAAACCAUAAUUUCCUCUCUAUUCUAUUUUCUUUAAGCAUGUUGUUUUUGUUGAAUGCAUGUCGUUUUUAAUCUCUGUAAUUUAUGUUUAUGUGAAUAAUUAAAAUUGGGAUGUGAUCUCACUUCCGCAUGGUUUUCACAAAUCUUCAAGUAAUGGGUCACUUACUUACUCAUUCUUUCUUAUAUUAUGUUUUUCAAGUAAGGAUAGAAACAAACCAGCGAGUGAAAGCGAGACUCGUGACCAUGCCAUAUGGGAUAAGAAAACCGAUUCCGCUCAGUUUAUAUUUUCAAGUUAUUUAAAAGUUUUGAUUUGGAACUCAAUGUUGAUCGAAUUUUUUUAUUGUCUAAUUGUUAUUUUUCUUAGUUGUUUUAGGGACCCCGAACAAAGGUUCUAAUUAUUUGUUAUUCUUAAAUUUAUGGAUUGUUUUGGAAAUUUUCCUUA